rnacentral:lncRNA from 1 species
CCGGGAGAGGAGGCGCGAGGAUAACGUCGCGAUGGCACUGAGCUUGGUGGAAGCUAGAAGAAGGAAAGGGGAAGAGAAGGGGGCGCGGUGGUGUGGGUUAUCGCCGGCGAUUAUGGAUGAAGGGGGGCUGUGGUGUCGCGGCUGAGGUGGCGCGGAGGAGCGGAGAGCACGCAAAGGGGGCUCUGCGGCGCUACUUGUAGCGCGAAGAGGAGGGCCGGGAUGCCAGACAGGACGCGGCGGCGCGGUUGGGUAACAGGGCUGCGAAAACGGAAGGCGACGGUGGUGCUGGGCUCGCGGAGCUGCGGGCGGAGAAGGGUGUGAACGGGAAACGGGGAAGAGAAAGAGAAGAAUAGGUGAGGUUGCCGGCGGCUGCGAGCUCGCCGCGGCAGUUGUGAGCGAAGGUGGGUGAUUGACGAGAAAGAGCUGGUGAUGAUGGUGAAGAAGAUGAUGGUAGGGAGGUUGUGACUCAGAGAAGAGGAAAAGACAACAGAAGGGGAGAGGAGGGGGAUGCGGACGCACGAACUGUGCGGGUGCUCCCAACAUAAGGGGGAUUUGGGAAUGAAAGAGAGCAAAAGAUGUAAAUAGUAAGGAAUUAAAUAAACGGAUUUGGAUCCUCUAAAGUUUGGAUUUCACUUUAGAGAGGAAAGUGUGAUUUCUCACCAUUGAUUUCAUAGGUGGGACCAAGAAUAAAUAUGAAAGAGAAACUAUUCAAAAGUAGAAGAUCACACUUUACUCUCUAAAGUGAAAUUCAAACUUUAGAGGAUCUGAAUCCUAAAUAAACAUGUAAGAAAUUAAAGUCAAAAUAAUCAAAGUCAAAGCAAUAAAACUUUAAAUGUAAGAAAUUUUUUGAUAAGUAAUUGCGAAUUAAGGUUAUUUAUUCUAGCCAUUGACCACAAACGCAUGAUGAUUAUAAAGAGUUAAUCCUAUUUAGUCAACUCUACAUCGAGGAUAAGUCAAAUAAGCAUAGUUGAUUCCAAUUCAUAAGUUCUAAAUCAACACUAUGGGGUCACUUAGAGUCAAGAGAAACCAAAUCAAUUAACUACUCUAAUAUAUCAAACAAGAAUGAACAUCAAUGACUCAAGGAACACCAAAAUUCACAAUUCCAAGUCAAGAGUGAGAAAAAGCUAUGUAAAAACUAAGUUAAGUAUUUCAUCAAACACUUGGUAUGCAUAAAAAUAAAAUAACAUUAAAUUGCAAUAAAAUAAAUUCUAAAAUUACAAAAGCAAGAAAAUAGCAAUAACAACUAAAGAAAGCAAUAAAGACAUGGAAACAUAGAUUUCAUUAAAUGUAAAUUAAAAUAACAAAGUAUGCUCAUAAACAUAAAAGACAAAAGAAAUGAAAUAACAAAUAGGAGAAGAGGACAAAGAUGCAAUAACAAUAAAUGACAAGGAAAAGUAAUUGAAAACAAGAAUUAAAAAUAGAAAUGACAAAAAAUUAAACUAAGUAGUCCUAAUUCUAGAGAGAAGGGGGAGCUUCUCUCUCUAGAAAAACUAAACAAAACAUGUAAAAAGCUAAACCUAAGUGCUCCCCCUUCAUUCUUCUUCACUUUGGCUUGAAAUAGCUUCAUAAAUGAGUUGGAUUGGGCUUUGGAAGCCCAAAGACGGUGGACGCUACGGUGGUUCACGGUGGUGGUUUGGCCGGGAGAGGAGGCGCGAGGAUAACGUCGCGAUGGCACUGAGCUUGGUGGAAGCUAGAAGAAGGAAAGGGGAAGAGAAGGGGGCGCGGUGGUGUGGGUUAUCGCCGGCGAUUAUGGAUGAAGGGGGGCUGUGGUGUCGCGGCUGAGGUGGCGCGGAGGAGCGGAGAGCACGCAAAGGGGGCUCUGCGGCGCUACUUGUAGCGCGAAGAGGAGGGCCGGGAUGCCAGACAGGACGCGGCGGCGCGGUUGGGUAACAGGGCUGCGAAAACGGAAGGCGACGGUGGUGCUGGGCUCGCGGAGCUGCGGGCGGAGAAGGGUGUGAACGGGAAACGGGGAAGAGAAAGAGAAGAAUAGGUGAGGUUGCCGGCGGCUGCGAGCUCGCCGCGGCAGUUGUGAGCGAAGGUGGGUGAUUGACGAGAAAGAGCUGGUGAUGAUGGUGAAGAAGAUGAUGGUAGGGAGGUUGUGACUCAGAGAAGAGGAAAAGACAACAGAAGGGGAGAGGAGGGGGAUGCGGACGCACGAACUGUGCGGGUGCUCCCAACAUAAGGGGGAUUUGGG